UAACGAGCGCAACCCUAUACAUUAGUUGCCCCCAUCAGGUCAAGCUGGGGACUCUAAUGAAACUGCCUACGCAAGUAGUGAGGAAGGUGGGGAUGACGUCAAAUCAGCACGGCCUUUACGUCCAGGGCUACACACGUGCUACAAUGGCCGGUACAAAGGGCAGCUACCUGGUGACAGGAUGCUAAUCUCAAAAGCCGGUCUCAGUUCGGAUCGGAGUCUGCAACCCGACUCCGUGAAGUUGGAUUCGCUAGUAAUCGCGCAUCAGCCAUGGCGCGGUGAAUACGUUCCCGGGCCUU
rnacentral:rRNA from 1 species